AUUGUGCAUAUGCAUGGAUACAAUGUGAUACAUUGAUAUAUGUACGUAUUGUGGAACAACUAAUAUUUCUGUCUCCUCAAAUAUCAUGUUACCAUCUUUAAGUCAAAAAAUUUAUAUUCUUACAGUGAUUUUAAAUAUACAGUUAUUACUAUUAACUAUGGUCAGCUUGUUACACAAUAACUCAAAGAAUUAUGCCUCCUGGUUAACUUCUGCCAAUUUCUUCCCAUUCUCUAGCAUACCCUCAACUUCUGGAAAGCGCCAUUUUUCUGUCUUGCAGAGUCCAAGACAACUGUCUGUAAAAAGUGCCACAUUUAAACCCACAUGGUUUUUCCUCAUAGAUAAGUUCAACUUGAACAUUUUCCAACAAAAAUAUUCUGUCUGUUGAGUUUGAAUCAAGGUCACAAGCAGUAGCUGAGAGCAUUCUUUCCAGAAAAGAAAGUGGAGGAGGGGGCUGUACCUAAACCAUUCUAGGGAGAUGAAACCGUCCAGCGGUUCUAGUUCCAGAAGGAAGCUGAAGGACUUGAAGCAUCUGGCCUUGCGCCCUUAUGUUGUCACAGCCCAUAGCUCAUCUUUCUCAGUGCCCUUGGCAGCUGAUCUGAAUACCGAGUGUACAUAAACUUCAAAGGAAGCAGGCAGGAUGGAGUUGUGGCCUUGCUGCUUUAAUCAAGAUGGAUUCCAAACCUCUGCUUAUCAAGUAGGAAACUGAAACCAGCAACGGAGAAUGAAUGGCCCUGAAGAAGAAGAAACUAGCCAUUGAAAAUGUGCCAGAGCUCAACAGAACACUGUAUUUUAAAUGGUAGUACUUUCCUAGUGCCUGUUGGUGGAUUCACUUUAUUUUCUAUCUAUGUAAAUGAGAUUAGCAUGUGAAUUAGAACCUCCAGUGAAGUAUUGCCUACAAAGUUCAGGAUAACAGGCAAGGGCACAAAACAGGGCUUCCAUUUGCAUGCCCUCCACUGAUAUUCCUGCCUUGAUCUUGAGACUGCCUAAGCUUCUUCGGCCAGUAGUGGGAAUGGUACUGGUUCCUGACUCUGUACCUCAAGGAGACAUCGUUCAAGCCUCCACUUGCCUCUUUUUUGGGGGGCUCUGCCUUGUACAUGGACCAUUCAUGUAAGAUGUAUCGAUCAAUGACAGGUUCAGAGUUCUUGUUCUCAAGUCAGUCUUCUGAAGGGAAGCAUGGACUCUGGCAGAAUAAGUACUCUCUAAUAUUCAUAGCAUCUGUAAGGGAGAAAGAAAACUGCUAUGCCCAUGUCCCUGUCCCUGUACUCAGAAGAAUGCUGUGCAUAGAAAUCAUAUUUGACUUUUAUAAUCUAUUUUGCCCUGGGUGUGGUGGUGUCCCAAAGCAUCAAGACUCGGGGUUUUAUUUCUCUUCUGCUGAGAGGAGCCACACAGAAGCUUUAUGUGGCCAGGGCAGGAAGAAUCACAGGGGAAGAAGGAAGGUACAUGGGGUGGGAGUUCGGAGGUGAGGGUGGGGGGUGCCUGGGACCAGGCCCUCUACAGAUGCUUCAUAACCUAUGCACGAACUGCUCUGAGUUCUCUACUUCAUCCGAGACAGACACACCCACUUCCCUCUCAGCCUCUCACAGACAUCAAAAGGAGAUUGUUCAGAGACAGAACCCAAAGACAGGCGGGGAACUCACAGACUGAAUGUCUUGCUCUCAAUGGGGGAGCUUUAUUGAAAUUAUGCAAAUAAGAACACUACCUCCUUCCCAUCCUCAUCCCCACCCUGGGUCUGCUGUGCAGUCCCCCUGUGAAAAGAAGAGAUCAAGGAACAAGAAGGAAGAUCACCCAGGACUUUCCCCUGAUAGUCUAAAGAGAAGAGGAGAGGUCACGAAAGGAACCCCUAGAAAGUGGGCAACAAAGAGUAAUUCUCUCCAGGAGCAUGGACAGUAUUUUUUUUUAAAUUCUCCCAAAAAGAUAUGUAAGUAUUCAAUAAGCACACAAAAAGUGUUCAACUUUGUUAAUCCUUAGGGAAAUGAAAAUCAAAGAUAUGUAAUAAAAAUCUUUGAUUUAUAUGCUAACCAUGUGAGUUAAUAAAAAAUAAAAUAAGACCA